GUAACAAGGUUUCCGUAGGUGAACCUGCGGAAGGAUCAUUAAUGAAAGCGAAGUCACGCAUGGGUGAGAGGGGGUUUGAUGCUGGCUCGUCGAGCACCGUGCUUACGCCCCCCGGCCUUUUUACACAUUAACACCUGUGCACCCUUAGGCGAGCGCCCUCCUUCGGCUAAAAGUCUGGCGUUUCCACGUCGGAUCGGGGCGCUCUCCGCUCAAAAACACAUUGCAGCCCGUCUUAUAACGCAUGUAGACCGCCCCACGGGGUAACAAAAGUUAAUACAACUUUCAACAACGGAUCUCUUGGCUUUCGCAUCGAUGAAGAACGCCGCGAAAGUGCGAAACGUAAUGUGAAUUGCAGAAUUCAGUGAAUCAUCGAAUCUUUGAACGCACCUUGCGCUCCUUGGUAUUCCGAGGAGCAUGCCUGUUUGAGUGUCGUGAACCCUCUCAACCUCGCUCCUUUGCUGGAGCGGGCUUGGAUUUGGACGCCUGCAGCCGAAAGGCCCGCUCGUCUUUAAACGCAUUAGCUGGUCCCUAUGGUCAGGUCCAAGCGACGGUGUGAUAACGUUAUGCUUAAUGGCGCCGUUCGUCUCGCUGGCCGGGGGUUGCUUACAGUCGUCUUCGGACAAAGCCUUUCAUGUCAUCUGACCUCAAAUCAGGA
rnacentral:rRNA from 1 species